rnacentral:rRNA from 1 species
UGGGGAAUAUUGCGCAAUGGGCGAAAGCCUGACGCAGCGACGCCGCGUGAGGGAUGAAGGUUUUCGGAUCGUAAACCUCUGUCAGAAGGGAAGAAACCGCACUGUGCUAAUCAGCAGUGCCUUGACGGUACCUUCAAAGGAAGCACCGGCUAACUCCGUGCCAGCAGCCGCGGUAAUACGGAGGGUGCAAGCGUUAAUCGGAAUUACUGGGCGUAAAGCGCACGUAGGCUGCUUUGUAAGUCAGGGGUGAAAUCCCACGGCUCAACCGUGGAACUGCCUUUGAUACUGCUUAGCUUGAAUCCGGGAGAGGGUGGCGGAAUUCCAGGUGUAGGAGUGAAAUCCGUAGAUAUCUGGAGGAACAUCAGUGGCGAAGGCGGCCACCUGGACCGGUAUUGACGCUGAGGUGCGAAAGCGUGGGGAGCAAACGGG